rnacentral:rRNA from 1 species
UUGAUUACGUCCCUGCCCUUUGUACACACCGCCCGUCGCUGCCCGGGACUGAGCCAUUUCGAGAAACUUGGGGAUUGUUGGUUUAGCGGUUUUCGGAUCGCUUCAUCGAUGAGAACCAAUUUAAUCGCAGUGGCUUGAACCGGGCAAAAGUCGUAACAAGGUGGCUGUAGGUGAACCUGCUGCCGGAUCAUUACUCAUGUAUUGAUCACAUACACACUUUUGUGUGCAUCCGUGUAGAUCACCGCUAUUGUCUGGUUAGCGGUGGUCCGAUGAAGUAGCGUAUGCAUCUGGCUUGUCUGAUGGGCUAGCUUUUCGGCCACUAAGCCUAAUGUGGCUGACUCUAGCCCGCUGGUUGCAUGUUAUGGAGUCGACGCUUGUCUGGUAGCGUUGCACGGACCGUGCCCGUGAUUUGGUCAUUGUCCGUUGACCCGUUGUGCUGGAUGGUGUCUGUCUGGAACGCCAGUCCAGUUCGGCGUUCAUAGGGCCUAACGGCUUUGCUGGCGUCUAUGCGUGGUUGAGCAGUUGUUGUCUCUCCGUCCGUGGCUGUGAUGAGACCGCGCGUUAGGGCCCAUGCCUUGCCUCUGGCAUGUUGGCUUAAGAACUUGAUGAGCGCGAUGCCUUGCGCCGCCAGUACCCACUUUUUUCAUUAUUUUUUUUUGUUGGAAGCAAAGCAAAUUCAAGUCUUAUCGGUGGAUCACUCGGCUCGUAGAUCGAUGAAGAACGCAGCUAACUGCGAUAAUUAGUGUGAACUGCAGAAACCUUGAACACGGCAAAUUUCGAAUGCACAUUGCGCCAUUGGAGCAAUAUCCUUUGGCAUGCUUUGCUCAGGGUCGCAUUACAAAAGCGCUAGCUUAUUGCGUAUAACAGUGCGUUAGAUCACGUUAGACCGCCGUCGAAACCAAGCUUGGUGGAGGUGGACUGUCACGUGUUCUUUCGAUAGUGAUAUUCUGGGACGUCUUGUCUGGCCCUGGUUUUGGUUCAGCUAUGGAUCUAUUGUUUCAGCGUUGUUGUGGAGUGUCUCUUUGCAGCAGCCACGGUCUAUAGCUGUUCUAGCCAGUUGUGUCUCUAGACGUUGUUAUCCCCAGUUGAAUAAUUGAAUUUUCGACCUGAGCUAAAGCGUGAAUACCCGCUGAACUUAAGCAUAUCAGUAAGCGGAGGAAAAGAAACUAACAAGGAUUCCCUUAGUAACGGCGAGUGAAA